UGAAUCCAUUAUUGUUAUUGA
rnacentral:piRNA from 1 species